GCGAGAAAAAAACUUGAAUUCUUUUAUUUCUGUAAGCAAAAAGAACAGCCCAAUCAAUGCGCAGUAAAACUGAUUCCCAUCAUUUUCUUGUGUUACUGCUGUUGUUGUCUUGCUUUCUUGUUGACAAUACAACCGAUGGUGAAACUUUUCUUCUAUUGAAUCAACCGCUAUUUUCAAACAUAUUUAAUUUGCUUCCCAAUUUGAUUCCCUUUUUUCUUACUCAACACCCUGUAUUAUUUGUGUAUCUGUAGCUCUGUGUCUAUCCCCUGUUUCAAGUUAGAAAAGUUGUUUCCCCUAAUCACGUGGUGAAAGAAAAGAAAAGAAGGGAGGCAACUUGGAUAGAGAGAGAGUCUCUUCCACCCUAUUACCAGAAAAUAUAUUGCCGAGAAGGUUUCGGGUUUUUGUCUGUUUUACUUCAUCAUUUCAUCUUCAUCUUCAUCCUCAUCUUUAUAAUAUUUUUUUGUUUCAUCUUGUUGCUGUUCUCUCUCUCUACCACACACAUUACAUACACUUCUACAUCUACAUCUCAACCUUUUUGCUCAUUUGGUAUUGGACUAGUGUAUUAGUACCAAUGGAAGCUUGUUAUUUGUACUUCAUCAGGUGCUCUGUGUUAUUUUUUAUGUUAUGAUGUUUCAGACAUCUGAAGAAGUACAUUUAUCAAGGCUUAACCGGAGUACAUCGACCAUAUCCAUCAACCGUCUUCUCAUAUUUUUUCCUUUUGUUCACACCUCAGCGUAAUUGUCUCUCUUGGACUUAGUUCCAUCCGAUUGGAUACAUCUCUCUGUAUCUGGUUUAAUGGAUUUAACUAGACGCUGAAUUCCCAAAAUGAUGCAGAAAAUUCAGACCAAGACCAAGACCAAAAAUCCCAGAGAAAGAAAGAAAUGGAGACGACAUUAAUAUCAGCAAGAGAAAAAUAAAUCUCCCAACAAACCUAACUUUUGUUUCUCUUUCUCUCUUUCUUUUUUUUCUGGGCCUUUUAUUUCAUUAUAAGUCUUUCAUCUCGUUUGUCUCGCUGAAACUUCAUGACAGUCCAUCGUUUAUUCUGAACUUGUCAUAAGUUUACUUAGUGUUGUUUUACAAAAUUUUACCCUCACAUUUACAGUUAAAGAUAAUGGUAUGAUGUCAAUGUUUUGCUGGUGGUGCAAUAAUUACCUCAAUAAAGGUUCCAUCAAGUUUACAAAGAUGAUAAAUGGCGUAAAUAGGAACACAAAUAAUUGAUGAACUUGUAAUUAACCAACCAAGGCUAAUUGACCAAGUUGGAUACUUAUAAUUUUCCCAUUCCAAAUCGUUGUAACCAAUAAUUGCAAAUGUAAAUGUAACCUGAUUGACACAAAAUAAGAAAGACAGAAAAUUAAUCCUGUUGAUAUCGAAUAUCCAAGCAUCGCCAAAAUCUAAGUGGACAGUUUUUUCUCAAUCAUCUGUUUCUCUUUUUUUCAUACAGAUUUGUUUAAUGUAAAUGUCAUUGGUUGAUGGCAUUUGUCAUUUUUGUAUUGGAAACAUAUUAAUCAUAAGUGCUCAAGAUUCAAAGAUUAUCUUUUUCUCUUUCUCUGGGGCAACCCUGAUAAACUACUUACGUUGAAUUCAACGUAAUUUACCCUUAAAUAUCACAUUGAAGUACGUUAGAAUCUUUAUGAGUCACCAUCAAUUGUGUACUUAUCAUAUUUACAUCAAGUGUUGGAUGAUGUAAUUUGUUUAAUAUGAGUACAAUCUGGCUAGUCAACCUUAACAGUGAAUUGAUGAAACAAAUACCAGUACAAGAAAAUUUAAUUAAAAUGAAAAUCAACUUGAAUAUAUUUUUUUCUCAAUCAUAAUUUAUGUGCAAACGUUUUUUCACUCCAACUCAAAAUGAUGAUAACUUGCAAGCUUAAAGUUAGAUUGAUGAGAGAGAGAAAAAAAAUCUAAAUUGAUUUAGAUAAUCAAUUUGUAACGUAAUUGCUCAUUUCCUCUCCUGUAUAUAAUUGAACAUUCAUCUGAAUAAAUAAAAGUAUCAAGAAUUAAUCAUUUUCCGACUCCCAAAUGAUAAUCUAUUAUUGAUUCACAAGGAUCAACACAAAUUGAAAAAAAAGCUCUUAAUGUAUUUUACACUUGCAACUGCUUCAAUCGUGAACACACUCAACAUUGAUUUACUAAUUAGUAUUGAAUAGUCUCUUGUUGAAAUAUUUAACCAGUUAACGGACAUAAAUAUUCAUGGAAUGUUGAUGACCAAAAAUGUUAAUAUUUGCUGUUGAGCUUUUGUUUUGCCCACUAACUAAGUGAUUGGUGCGAGAAUCAGUAAGGCUAAUAAAUAACUUUGCGUUCACAAUUAAAUACGAUCCAAUAUUUAUCUUAGUCAUCUGAUUACUGUUAUUACACUGAAUUACGUCAAGUUAAACAGGUUACUAUUCAUUCACUGAUUGCACCAUUCAAGUGAAACUUGAGCCUUUCAUUGUUUAUCAUUUCUAUUGUAAUCAUUUGUUUUGUUUUCAUGUAACACCAAAAAUGAUUCAAUUUUGUAUCAAUCCUGAUUCAUUUCAACAAAUUGCCCUUAAAAGAAGACAGAAUCUGUUUUUAUCACACAACUGAUAGAUUAUAUUGCCUUCAAUUGAACCCACUUUUAUGGCCAAAUUAAUUAAAGUUAAUCCGGUUGCUACCAUCUGAUUCAAUCUUUAUUAUCAAACUUCAUCAUUGACCAAUUGAGUUGUUUAUUUUAGCGUUUUAAGUUAAAUUUUUAUCAAUAGAUGACACUACUAGCUAGAAUCUAUUUCUUUUGUAACGCCAUCUAAUGGAAUAAACCACAGUUUUAAAAGUUUAGCUUUUUGUACAACAGUUAUUUCAAUAUUCAAUGGAAACGAUUGUCUAACUAUUUAUUAAUCACGGAUUUUCUUGAUGAUCUAUCUUUUAUUUUUGAUUUUUAAGUUAAAUUUUAUUGUGCUAUCGUUGGAGGGAAGUGGUCUGGUUAUAAAGUUACGAUUGAAGAGUCAACUCGCGAUCCUAAAAAUGUUAUGGCAAAUUUAUUGGCUCCUGUUGAAUUGAUGGCAUCAAAUGUUAGGUUUGUAACUCAAGUUUCUUCCAGCAUGUUUUGUAUUACUCACCGUACAUCCAACAUAUUGCGACGGAUUCAACAAAGACGAUAAAUAACAGUGGAAAUGAAGCUCCGUAAGAGUCUAAAAGGUUUUCUGGUCCUUAUGGAUUUUCAACUUACUAUGAGGAUAUUCAUCACAGAUUCCAGUUAUCAAAGCUUCCAAUCCAGCAAACUACCAAUCACAAUGUUAAUCCAGUAGGAUCAGAAAAGUGAAAGUCAAUCAUGGUGAUGAUAGAGCAUUGAAAGAAGGAACAAAAAAACAAAAGAUUAUUGUUGAAAUAAAUUGAUAAAAGUGAAGUUGGAUGAUUAAUUGAUGUUCUACAAUUUCAAUUUUCUUCAACAAUCAAAGCCUAUGUGGAUCAGAGACUAAAUGUCGAGCAAAAUCAAUCUCCAAACAUUAUCAGCUGGAAAAAUCAGAGUGCAAAUUUUUCAAGAUUAUAAAUGGAUAAAGUCAUGUACAUGAACGAAUAUAAUCCUCCAUUACCAUCACUGAAAUUCAAGAACUAGGACGGUUCGACCAGGAUGAAUUAAAUAUAGUGUUAAAGAUAUUCUUACCGUACUAUCCAAACCUAAAGUUAUAAGCAUAGCGAAGAAAAGUACAGCCCAAAAAGACGAAUAUUGCAUAGUUGCUAUUGCUUCAGGAUAAACAAUGAACACUAAACCAGCACCUAGAGUUUGAUGAACAAAAAUAUCAGUAUUACGCUAUUAAAAGAACAAAUAGACAAAAACUUA